rnacentral:rRNA from 1 species
AUACGUAGGGGGCGAGCGUUAUCCGGAUUUAUUGGGCGUAAAGCGUGUGUAGGCGGUUUGUUAAGUUUAAGAUUAAAGCCCGAGGCUUAACCUCGGUUCGUCUUAAAAACAGGCAGACUUGAGUGCAGUAGAGGCAAGUGGAAUUUCUAGUGUAGCGGUUAAAUGCGUAGAUAUUAGAAGGAACACCAGUGGCGAAGGCGGCUUGCUGGGCUGUUACUGACGCUGAGACACGAAAGCGUGGGGAGCAAAUAGGAUUAGAUACCCUAGUAGUCCACGCCGUAAACGAUGAGUACUAAGUGUCGGGUAACCGGUGCUGAAGUUAACACAUUAAGUACUCCGCCUGAGUAGUACGGUCGCAAGGCUGAAACUCAAAUGAAUGGACGGGG